UUCAGUCGAGUAAAUGUAGCAACACACAUAAAUUCAGUUAUAUGCUUGUCUAAAGGUUUGUCAUCAGAGCAA
rnacentral:snoRNA from 1 species